AUUGAACGCUGGCGGCAGGCCUAACACAUGCAAGUCGAGCGGCAGCGGGAAAGUAGCUUGCUACUUUUGCCGGCGAGCGGCGGACGGGUGAGUAAUGCCUGGGAAAUUGCCCAGUCGAGGGGGAUAACAGUUGGAAACGACUGCUAAUACCGCAUACGCCCUACGGGGGAAAGCAGGGGACCUUCGGGCCUUGCGCGAGUGGACAGGCCCAGGUGGGAUUAGCUAGUUGGUGAGGUAAUGGCUCACCAAGGCGAAGAUCCCUAGCUGGUCUGAGAGGAUGAUCAGCCACACUGGAACUGAGACACGGUCCAGACUCCUACGGGAGGCAGCAGUGGGGAAUAUUGCACAAUGGGGGAAACCCUGAUGCAGCCAUGCCGCGUGUGUGAAGAAGGCCUUCGGGUUGUAAAGCACUUUCAGCGAGGAGGAAAGGUUGAUGCCUAAUACGUAUCAACUGUGACGUUACUCGCAGAAGAAGCACCGGCUAACUCCGUGCCAGCAGCCGCGGUAACAC
rnacentral:rRNA from 1 species